rnacentral:rRNA from 1 species
CCUACGGGUGGCAGCAGUGAGGAAUCUUGGUCAAUGGACGAGAGCCUGAACCAGCCAAGUAGCGUGAAGGAUGACUGCCCUAUGGGUUGUAAACUUUUUUUAUAUAGGAAUAAAAUGUUCCACGUGUGUGAUUUUGUAUCUACCAUAUGAAACAGGAUAGGCUAACGUCGUGCCAGCAGACGCGGUAAUACGGAGGAUCCGAGCGUUAUCCGGAUUUAUUGGGUUUAAAGGGAGCGUAGGUGGAUUGUUAAGUUAGUUGUGAAAGUUUGCGGCUCAACCGUACAAUUGCAGUUGAAACUGGCAGUCUUGAGUACAGUAGAGGUGGGCGGAAUUCGUGGUGUAGCGGUGAAAUGCUUAGAUAUCACGAAGAACUCCGAUUGCGAAAGCAGUUCACUGGACUGCAACUGACACUGAGGCUCGAAAGUGUGGGUAUCAAACAGGAUUAGAUACCCUUGUAGUC